rnacentral:rRNA from 1 species
CACGUAGGGGGCAAGCGUUGUCCGGAUUCAUUGGGCGUAAAGGGUGCGUAGGCGGCGCGGUAAGUCGGGUGUGAAAUCUCGGAGCUUAACUCCGAAACUGCAUUUGAUACUGCGGUGCUUGAGGACUGGAGAGGAGACUGGAAUUCACGGUGUAGCAGUGAAAUGCGUAGAUAUCGUGAGGAAGACCAGUGGCGAAGGCGGGUCUCUGGACAGUUCCUGACACUGAGGCAGCGAAG